rnacentral:pre_miRNA from 1 species
UUCUUUGCCGGUGGAGUAUCAUCAAGAUUCACAUACAUACAUACCAACUAGCUAGCUUUUAGGGCUUCUGGAUGGGUUAGUUAGCCUGUUUAAUUUGGUAUGAGAAUCUUGAUGAUGCUGCAGCGGCAAUGCA